UACGUAGGGGGCAAGCGUUGUCCGGAAUCAUUGGGCGUAAAGCGCGUGUAGGCGGUCCGGUAAGUCCGCUGUAAAAGUCGGGGGCUCAACCCUCGGAUGCCGGUGGAUACUGUCGGGCUUGAGUACGGAAGAGGCGAGUGGAAUUCCUGGUGUAGCGGUGAAAUGCGCAGAUAUCAGGAGGAACUCCAAUUGCGAAGGCAGCUCGCUGGGACGUUACUGACGCUGAGACGCGAAAGCGUGGGGAGCAAACAGG
rnacentral:rRNA from 1 species